rnacentral:rRNA from 1 species
UUAGGAAUUUUGGGCAAUGGCCGCAAGGCUGACCCAGCAACGCCGCGUGGGGGACGAAGGCCUUCGGGUUGUAAACCCCUUUUAGCAGGGACGAUGAUGACGGUACCUGCUGAAUAAGCCCCGGCUAACUACGUGCCAGCAGCCGCGGUAAUACGUAGGGGGCAAGCGUUGUCCGGAUUUAUUGGGCGUAAAGCGCGUGUAGGCGGCAGUUUAAGUCGGCCGUGAAAUCUCCAGGCUUAACCUGGAGGGGUCGGGCGAGACUGGAUUGCUCGAGGUGGGCAGAGGGCGGUGGAAUUCCGGGUGUAGUGGUGGAAUGCGUAGAGAUCCGGAGGAACACCAGUGGCGAAGGCGGCCGCCUGGGCCUGGCCUGACGCUGAGACGCGAAAGCGUGGGGAGCAAUCCG